rnacentral:rRNA from 1 species
UGGGGAAUUUUGGACAAUGGGCGAAAGCCUGAUCCAGCAAUGCCGCGUGUGUGAAGAAGGCCUUCGGGUUGUAAAGCACUUUUGUCCGGAAAGAAAUCCUUGGCUCUAAUACAGUCGGGGGAUGACGGUACCGGAAGAAUAAGCACCGGCUAACUACGUGCCAGCAGCCGCGGUAAUACGUAGGGUGCAAGCGUUAAUCGGAAUUACUGGGCGUAAAGCGCGCGCAGGCGGUUUGCUAAGACCGAUGUGAAAUCCCCGGGCUCAACCUGGGAACUGCAUUGGUGACUGGCAGGCUAGAGUAUGGCAGAGGGGGGUAGAAUUCCGCGUGUAGCAGUGAAAUGCGUAGAGAUGUGGAGGAAUACCGAUGGCGAAGGCAGCCCCCUGGGCCAAUACUGACGCUCAUGCACGAAAGCGUGGGGAGCAAACAGGAUUAGAUACCCUGGUAGUCCACGCCCUAAACGAUGUCAACUAGUUGUUGGGGACUUCAUUUUCCUUAGUAACGUAGCUAACGCGUGAAGUUGACCGCCUGGGGAGUACGGUCGCAAGAUUAAAACUCAAAUGAAUUGACGGGGUCAUAGCUGUUUCCU